UACGUAGGGUGCGAGCGUUACUCGGAAUUACUGGGCGUAAAGCGUGCGCAGGCGGUUUUGUAAGCCAGAUGUGAAAUCCCCGGGCUUAACCUGGGAAUGGCAUUUGGGACUGCAAGGCUUGAGUGCGGCAGAGGAGACUGGAAUUCCCGGUGUAGCAGUGAAAUGCGUAGAUAUCGGGAGGAAUACCGAUGGCGAAGGCAGGUCUCUGGGCUGACACUGACGCUCAUGCACGAAAGCGUGGGGAUCAAACAGG
rnacentral:rRNA from 1 species